GUGCUCGUUCAGCAGCACAUGUAUUAAAAUUGGAACAAUACAGAGAAGAUUUAGCACGGCCCUGCACAAAGAUGACACAUAAAUUCAUGAAGCAUUCCCAUAUUUU
rnacentral:snRNA from 1 species